rnacentral:rRNA from 1 species
UACGGAGGGGGCUAGCGUUGUUCGGAAUUACUGGGCGUAAAGCGCACGUAGGCGGACUGUUAAGUCGGGGGUGAAAUCCUGGGGCUCAACCUCAGAAUUGCCUCCGAUACUGGCAGUCUCGAGUGCGGGAGAGGUGAGUGGAAUUCCCAGUGUAGAGGUGAAAUUCGUAGAUAUUGGGAAGAACACCAGUGGCGAAGGCGGCUCACUGGCCCGUAACUGACGCUGAGGUGCGAAGGUCAGGGGAGCAAACGGG